rnacentral:rRNA from 1 species
UACGUAGGGCGCAAGCGUUAUCCGGAAUUAUUGGGCGUAAAGGGCGUGUAGGCGGACCUAUAAGUCUAUUCUGAAAGCUCCUGGCUAAACUGGGAGAGGCGAAUGGAGACUGUAGAUCUAGAGUGAGGAAGAGGAAAAGUGGAAUUCCGCGUGUAGUGGUGAAAUGCGUAGAGAUGCGGAGGAACACCAGUGGCGAAAGCGACUUUCUGGUCCUUAACUGACGCUGAGGCGCGAAAGCAUGGGGAGCGAACGGGG